rnacentral:lncRNA from 1 species
UUUUUUUUUUUUUGGUCUUUUUAGGGCCACAUCCAGGGCACAGGGAAGUUCCCAGGCUAGGGGUUGAAUUAAAGCUGCAGCUGCUAGCCUACACCACAGCCACAGCAACACUGGAUCCAAGCCGCACCUGUGAUCUAUACCACAGCUCAUGGCAAUGUCGGAUCCUUAACCCACUGAGUGAGCCUGAGGAUGGAACCCAAGUCCUCAUGGAUCCUAGUGGGGUUCGUUACUGCUGAGCCAGGAUGGGAACUCCUGCAGCCAAUCACUUUUAACUUCACAUUCAGAUGGGACAAGAGCAUUGGGAAGACAGAAUCUUUCUCCUGCCUGGGCAUGUGUAUGUUCAAACACACUUUCUGAACUUCCUCACCAGCACAGGAGAGCACCGCCCUGCCGCCCCCUGCCCCCUUUCAGAACACAGCCCGAGAUAAAGCUCGGAGGACAGCUUGAUGGUGGCUCUGCCUGUCCUUCUGAGGCUGUGUCUCCCGUCUGUCACAAGGACCCAGGGCCACUGCAGUGCGCAGCAUCCCCCAGCCCAGUGUGCCUGCCCGCGAAUCUCCCAAGAAGAUCGUGAUUCAUCCCUCUUGGCUGAUGUUGACUCAUGAUCUGAAAAAGCCACUCUUCGACCUCUACUUCGGGGAGACUCUGCACUUUGGGGGAGCUGGUAACACACUUUUCCUAAUAUAAACGUACAGGAGAGGCCAUUAUAUGCAGCCCUCUGAACUUUUAAUCGGGUCAGUGUCUUCACAGCUGCAUCACAUCCACCACCUAGAAAAAUGAACUUCUGAAGUUUUCUCUGCCUUUGGCUUUUAAUCCGUCUCCUCCUUGGCUUGCUCUGUAAUGGAUGAGGCUGUCACCCCACAGGAGGACUCGGGACAGGAUGGGGGUGGAGGGGGAGGACAAGGGGGGGAAGAGACCCUGCUUUUCAGGCGCUUCUGAAUUGUCCUCAUUAAAAGUUGAUUUCGAAAUUCUGUGGUGAAUUUUCAGAAUAGGCACUUCUAUAAACAGAAGCACAAAUCCACCCCAGGGCCACCGGCGGAUCACCUGCUGUUUUACACAUUAGCCCCGAAGCUCCGCCCACCCUCCCAUCAGCGAGGACAAUCAGGAGGUGACCACGAAAAAUUACUCCCAUGGCUGCUAAAUGCCACAUAAGAAAAAAGACACAUUUUCUGUGACUCCAAAUUAAGCUCCGUUUGCUCUUCAUGAAAAUUAGGGUGCUGCAACCACCACCAGGAAGCACAUGACAAGUCCUGGUUCUCUUAAGGAAAGCCUCAGAAUGCAGCCUGAACUCCCCACUGGCCAGGUAGACUUCUCUGCAGCACCUGCUGCUCCUGAGAGCCGGCGGCCUCAAGUUCUCCAAGUCAGAAUGUCCCCGAAUUUCUUUGUCGGGUGACCUGAAGCCUCGCCUGAAGACAGCCUCUCCCUGGCCUGGGAGCUGCCCCAGACCACACUGGUUUGGCCUGAGUGGGCUCUGCUCUUUCUAGCCCGGGAAUCACAACAGCAUCCUUCAGGUCUGUGCCUUGCCUUAAUUUGCCACCUCUGCUCCUGGCACACGGCUGGGGCCACUUUUGGUACAGACCCUGGGUGAGGCUGGGGCUCAGGCUAACACACUGACAUGGCCACUGCCCCCGCUUCCACCUUUCCUUGGUGCUGAUUCAGGCACUGCUUCCACCCUAGAAAGAAAACACCCCUUACUGCUAAUUAUUAGCUCAAUGUUCAUGGCAUCCCUGGCCCUUAAAGCUCAGUCCAAGUUACCUGUCCAGUCUCGCCAUGUACCUUGGCUCGCUCAUUCACGGCUUGAUUGACCGAGUCACUCAUUCAUAAAGCAUCCCGAGGCCUACAGUGAGUCAAGCACUGUGCAGGGCACUAAAGACACGGAAUAAUGCCCAUCUCUAGAUGAGUUUCCGCCAAACACUCAUACUGAGUAGCAGCAGCCAGAUCUGUAAGCACGUAUGUGCAGUGAGGGGUCAGAACGAAGGAGUCCAUAUGCGCCCCCAGGAGGCAGGUGGUGAUCCUCCAUCCUGAAGGGCCCAGCUGGGCUGCCACCUCCAAUGGGCAGCUCCCCCUCAGCACCCACCCUCCUCUGGGUCCUUCUGGUGGGCAGAGCAGUAAUGCAUGACCUUGACCCCCACAGGAACGACCAGUCCUCGAGAGCAGAAACGAGGCGCUGCCCCUCUGUGCUCCCCUGCAAGCGGCGCCUGGCUCGCACACACCAAGCGCUCUGUGCCCGGCUACUCUGAGGCCGAUGUACCCAGUGGUACAUCUCAGGAUCAGGGUCAAGAGCGAGCCUCCCCAAGCGCUGCACCAAGAGCCUACGGGCCUCCUCCUUUUGGCGGAGGCGGCAGAAGUGGGCCAGACCACGGCCACCAGGAGUCACCCAACCGGCAGGCCGGCGCUCCACUCUGAGCUGAGUGCUUUCUGAAAACCCUCCUCGCCCCUGGCGCCUGUGCCUUGUCUGUAUCUGCGGGACAGCAGAGGCCCCAGAGGGGGAAUGGGUGGCAAGGAGAGGCCCAGUCCUCCGGGAGCAUCACCGCAGCCGACAAGGCAGUCUGGUGGGAGAGGGAGAACGCGCCUCCCUCCAUAGCGAUGAGGCAGGUUCACCGCGAACCCAUCAUCCCGUCGCUCGCUAAUGAAUGAAGAACGCCUCUGUGUCUGUGGGAUAUUAAGCAUUCCCCGGGGGGCCUGGCUUCAAACGCAAGAGUUUGGAUGACGAUGACCACAUAGAGCUCCCAUGUUCUGUACAUACAUGGAUGCCACACACAUAAAAAUACUGUAAGAUGCACCAGCUAUCCGCUGCAGGGGACAAAUCACCGCAAAACUCAGUGGCUUGAAAUGACACUCAUCUCACUGCUGAGUAGCGCUUUAGCUAUGUGCUCUGGUUCAGGCUCUCUCAUGAGGCUGCAAUUAGGAUGAUCUACUUCUGGAGUUCCUAUUGUGACUUAGUGAGUUAAGAACCCGACUAGCAGCCAUGAGGAUGUGGGUUCGAUCCCUGGCCUCACUCCGAAGGUGAAGGACUUGGCAUUGCUGCAAGCUGCGGCAUAGGUCAUGGAUGCGGCUCGCAUCUGGCGCUGCUGUGGCUGUGGUGUGGGUUGCAAACGCGGCUCAGAUCUGGUGGUGCUGUGGCUGUGGUGUACGCCGGCAGCUGCAGCUCUGAUUUGACCCCUAGCCUGGAACUUUCAUACGCCGCAGGUGCGGCCCUAAAAAAAACAAAACAAAACAAAACAAAACAAAGGACGUUCUGCUUUUCAGCUCGCCUACAUGGCCACCGGCAGGCAGUCUCACUUGCUCUCUGGCUGUUUGGCUGGAGGCCUCGGUUUCUUUCCACGUGGGCCUCCACUGAGCUGCUCACAACACGGCAGCCAGAGCAAGAGACCCAAGAAAGAAAGACAGAGAUAAACAGACACAGACAGACAGAUGGACACAUCAAGACAGAAGGUACAAUAUCUUUUACAAUCCUAUCCUGAUAGAUCCAUCAUCUAUUUAUUACAAAGACACACAGAUUUUUUUUUCCCUCUUGUGACUCUGAAGGCUGCAGAUGCUUUCGAGAAUGGUUGUGAAAUAUUUACUAGGCUCUGAAUUUGAGGAGAGCUAUGUAUGUAUGUACACACACACAAACAUCUACAUAUGUAUUUUUUUUUACUGUACAGUGACAGUAAGUACAGUCACACUGUGCCAUCCCCAACACCAUCCAUUUACAGAAUUCUUUUCAUCUUGCAAAACUGAAACUCUGUACCCAUGAAAUAAUAACAUCCUCUCUUUCCUGUCCCUGGAAACCACCAUUCCUUCUGUCUCUAUAAAUGUGACUACUCUAAGUAGCUCAGAUAAGAGGAAUCAUAAAUAUUCGUCCCUCUGUGACUGGCUGAUGACACUUAGCGUAAUGUCCUCAAGAUUCAUCCAUGUUGUAGCAUCUGUCAAAAUUUCUUUCCUUUUUAAGGCUGAAUAAUAUUCCAUUGUUUGCAUAUAUCCCAUUUUGUUUGACUAUUCAUCCAUCAGUGGCCACUGGGUUGCUCCUGCCUUUCGGCUAAUGUGAAUUAUGCUUCUGUGAACAUGGGUGUACCAAGAUUAUUUUUAAACGUGUUACAUGUGUAAACACCUUAAACGUGUUUUAAACAUUUUUCAACAAUUCAUAUCACUGAUGUAGUAGCAUUUCAAGACCGUAACAGGCAAUAUUUGUACUUUUGAAUGAAGGCUGCGGUUGGAGGCUGGGGAACUUUAAGGGUUGUCUUCUCUGGACCCUCCGGGGCUGGGCUGCUCUCCAUGUGGUUCAGGUUGGGGGCUGGCUGACAGCUGUAGCUACGAUUUAACCCUUAGCCUGGGAACUUCCAUAUGCUGCAGGUAUGGUCCUAAAACAACCAAACAACAACAACAACAACAACAAACAAGGCACAUGCAGAGAAAUUCUCAAAGUGAAAACAUGACUACCAGUUAGUGACCCGGAGCAACAGCCAAAGAUUAAUCCUGUUACAGCUCGGUGAUGUCUGUGGCGCGCCAAAUUUGCCUGGGGUGUAAAUGCAGCCACGGACCACGCGGGCUCCUCCUGAGAGCUGGGGAAAUAAUGGACUUGCUGCCGGGGAGGCCUGCUGGGCUGUGGAGGAAAACUUAGCAGGGUGGGGACACGCAAUGUAAGAGAAGUGGUCACACCUUGUGGAGGUCUUGGUGCCGCCUAAUUCCGUCACCAUGGUGACGUUUCUCUUGAAGUUCUCACCAUUAUGCUUUAGCCAAUACAAGCGCAUCACCCAGAAGCCCUUUAGGUUACAUAUUCUCUUACAAGAAAGAAGCAACUUGCUGUUCAACUGGGAAUGAAAAUAAGUAUUUCCUACGAAACAGCCCCAAAUUAUUUUCAUAAAUGUCAUUUAUACGGAUGAGCUAAACUGCUGAAGCUACUGGGGACUCUGCCUGCUACAGGGGAGCUGUUCAGAAAUACUUCCCAUCUGAUGAGCCCAGACUGGAGUUCUUCUUGUGCAAACCUGCCCAUCCCUGCCUGUUUGCAGCUUCCUGCUGGUUCGAGGGUAAGGCCUGAGCUCACAUUUAACCAUGUGGCUCAGAACUCCAAACUUACAACUUGAAUGUUGCUAGAGACUAAGUGGGGUCUAGAGAUACCUAACUCAAAAUGAGAAAAACAGGAGAAGGAGGAGGAGGAGGAGGAGGAAAGAGUCAGGAGAAAUGAGUCAGUAACCCUGAGAGACACAGACCCCUGCGGGGUCAUGGACAGAGGCGGUACGGGGCCCAGAGCACAUGGGGGCCCAGUGUCAGGGACCCGAGGACAGGGAGCAGCAGAGACAACAGAUUUAAAAGGACAGCAGGGCUAGUGCUUGGGAAGGACCUGCGCUCGGCAGGCCUCUGGAGCAGGACAAGGGACUUGCUGGCCCAUGGAAGGAAAAGGGACCCCAUCAACGCAAAAACACCUGCCUGGGUUUAGUGUCACAAGCACCAGGCACGGCAUCAAGGGAGCCGGACCGUGGUCCUCCAUCUGGUCCCUUGGGCACACAUGCGGGGUGGGGGUGGGGCCUCCAACCAGGGGUCUGAACCCGGCCAGACUCCGCCAGCAGGUGCUUAGGCCACUUCUCCCCAGCUCCUGGUCACCUCUCUCCACCCUAAACCAGUAUGUGUUGGACCCGAAUGUGCGGAACGGGACCUGCGCUGAAGGAGGUGGGAAGAGAAGACUGUCAAGAUGGCUUUUGGCACCACGGUGCUGGGAUUCUGUGGGAAAGGCUCUCUUUGGAUAAAGGGAAACCUUCCCCGUUAUCACCGUCCAGGACCAGCUAUGCGUGGGGUCAGCUGUAGAGCCUUGUUUCCGCGUCCCUAAGUCGAGAGUUUCUACCACAUGACUAUCUGGCAGGGCUGCUGCUGAUGGAGCCUCCGAGAACACGGCAGCUGCUGGGCCCUCGGCCGCGGGAGGAGCCAGCCCUUCGCCCUCAGCAGCAGCAAACUCCAGUGUCCGCGUCUGUGGAGGGUGUGCCAACAAACCCACUGUUCUCUUCUUAUACAGCAAGACAACAUCCUAGAUAUCCAGUGUAACAGGGGCUUGCUCUUUUGAGGUUUUGUUUUACGCCCCUAAGAGUACUAGGUCCC